UACGUAGGGUCCGAGCGUUGUCCGGAAUUAUUGGGCGUAAAGGGCUCGUAGGCGGUCUGUCGCGUCGGGAGUGAAAUCUUACAGCUUAACUGUGAACUUGCUUUCGAUACGGGCAGACUUGAGGCAUUCAGGGGAGAACGGAAUUCCUGGUGUAGCGGUGAAAUGCGCAGAUAUCAGGAGGAACACCGGUGGCGAAGGCGGAUCUCUGGGCCUGUUCUGACGCUGAGGCGCGAAAGCUAGGGGAGCGAACAGG
rnacentral:rRNA from 1 species